rnacentral:tRNA from 1 species
GGUGGCUCAGUGGUAGAGUGCUUGCCUUGCAUGCAUAAGGCCCUGGGUUCAAUUCCUAGCACCA